GCCCAGGUGGCGAAAUUGGUAGACGCGCUAGAUUCAGGUGCUAGUACUCGCAAGGGUGUGGAGGUUCAAGUCCUCUCCUGGGCACCA
rnacentral:tRNA from 1 species